rnacentral:lncRNA from 1 species
GUUAUGCAGCACUGUUGUGGCAAAAGCCGACUGAUACACCUGCCCUGGCACUUGGGGAUACAGGGAAACGGAUGUGGUGAAUUGAAGAUGAUGCCACACGUCCCCUGGUGUGCCGAGGUAAAGGCUUGGGAACGCUGGGAAGAGGGAGGAAAGAGCCAGAAGGUUAGCGCGAGGCACUCAUUCCCUGUAGCUUGACUACUGUUUCCAGAAAUUGAGGGCCGGUUUGCAAUUAGAGUUACCCCAGAAAGUUGGGACUCCCAGGUUGAAAAAGCCACUGUUUAUGCCUCAAACAGUAGGAGAAAAGAUGGUGGCUGUUCAAGGCCUGUCACUCAGGCAGCUCAGUCCAACAAAAGUGUGCAGGCCUACGGCAAAGAUCAGAUGAAGGCUCAGGUUGCGGGGGGAGGGGAGCAGAUGGCUUAAUGAAUCAUCUGUCAGUUGGACCCGGAAGACAGUCAUCGGGACCCACGGAAAGGCUCUGCCCAUCCUAGAGAGGCAGGCUUUGGGCUGGGUCUUCUCCCUGGAGAUGAUGGUGACUUUUUCUAACACGAUGUGUGGAGGAAGGGUGGGUCUCACAGAUGUCUGGAGGCCAAGGGCUGGCUGGCUGCCGUCCGGCUGUCCAACAGAAGCCGUUACCCCUUCUCAUGGGGCCCCUGGCUGGUCUGCAUUCCCAGGCUCCCUCGCAGUAGGUGUGGCUGGGUAACCGUGGUGUCCAACAGAAUCUGGCAGAAGCAGUGUGCACCAGUUUCAGGAGCAGGUCACCCUUCCAGGAGGCUUUUAGGGUUCCCCCUUCUGAUGGCUGAAAUGGGCACAUCAGAGAGACUGUGGAAGACAAAUGUGCAAGAUGACAGGGCAGCCUUCAGCCUGGGGCCCAACCAGGCCCCACCCCGCAGGAGCACUUGCUUGGGCAGGUCAGGGAUAAAUAAGCCGCGGGCUGGCAUGGGCAGCUACGUUUGGGGUCUAUUUGCUACAGUUGUGUAACUUGCACUGAGCAAGAGUUUCAGAACACACAGUGUUCAAAAACACCAGUAAUAGCUUCAGAGAGAAAAGAGAUUUUGUUCUUUAAAAAAAGAAUCUGGGGAAGUGAACUCAGAUUUUU